ACGGCAGCACGGGUGCUUGCACCUGGUGGCGAGUGGCGAACGGGUGAGUAAUGCGUCGGAACGUACCGAGUAAUGGGGGAUAACGCAGCGAAAGUUGUGCUAAUACCGCAUACGCCCUGAGGGGGAAAGUGGGGGACCGCAAGGCCUCACGUUAUUCGAGCGGCCGACGUCUGAUUAGCUAGUUGGUGGGGUAAAGGCCUACCAAGGCGACGAUCAGUAGCGGGUCUGAGAGGAUGAUCCGCCACACUGGGACUGAGACACGGCCCAGACUCCUACGGGAGGCAGCAGUGGGGAAUUUUGGACAAUGGGGGCAACCCUGAUCCAGCCAUUCCGCGUGAGUGAAGAAGGCCUUCGGGUUGUAAAGCUCUUUCAGCUGGAACGAAACGGUACGCGCUAACAUCGUGUGCUAAUGACGGUACCGGCAGAAGAAGCACCGGCUAACUACGUGCCAGCAGCCGCGGUAAUACGUAGGGUGCGAGCGUUAAUCGGAAUUACUGGGCGUAAAGCGUGCGCAGGCGGAUUGUUAAGCAAGACGUGAAAUCCCCGGGCUUAACCUGGGAAUGGCGUUUUGAACUGGCAGUCUAGAGUGCGUCAGAGGGGGGUGGAAUUCCACGUGUAGCAGUGAAAUGCGUAGAGAUGUGGAGGAACACCGAUGGCGAAGGCAGCCCCCUGGGAUGACACUGACGCUCAUGUACGAAAGCGUGGGUAGCAAACAGGAUUAGAUACCCUGGUAGUCCACGCCCUAAACGAUGUCAACUGGUUGUUGGGGGAG
rnacentral:rRNA from 1 species